rnacentral:rRNA from 1 species
AUUGAACGCUGGCGGCAGGCUUAACACAUGCAAGUCGAGCGGAGAUGAGGUGCUUGCACCUUAUCUUAGCGGCGGACGGGUGAGUAAUGCUUAGGAAUCUGCCUAUUAGUGGGGGACAACAUUCCGAAAGGAAUGCUAAUACCGCAUACGCCCUACGGGGGAAAGCAGGGGAUCUUCGGACCUUGCGCUAAUAGAUGAGCCUAAGUCGGAUUAGCUAGUUGGUGGGGUAAAGGCAUACCAAGGCGACGAUCUGUAGCGGGUCUGAGAGGAUGAUCCGCAAAGAUGGAACUGAGACCCGGCCCAGACUCCUACGGGAGGCAGCAGUGGGGAAUAUUGGAAAAUGGGCGGAAGCCUAUUCCAGCCAUGGCGCGUGUGUGAAGAAGGCCUUUUGGUUGUAAAACACUUUAAGCGAGGAGGAGGCUACCUGGAUUAAUACUCUAGGAUAGUGGACGUUACUCGCAGAAUAAGCACCGGCUAACUCUGUGCCAGCCGCCGCCGUAAGAC